rnacentral:rRNA from 1 species
AUUGAACGCUGGCGGCAGGCCUAACACAUGCAAGUCGAACGAGUGGCGGACGGGAGAGUAAUGUCUGGGAAACUGUCUGAUGGCGGGGGACAACUACUGGAAACGGUAGCUAAUACCGCAUACCACAAGAUGUUACCAUAUUGUAUUAGCUUGUUGGUGGGGUAACGGGCCAUAAAGGCGACGAUCCCUAGCUGGUCUGAGAGUCUGACCAGCCACACUGGAACUGAGACCCGGUCCAGACUCCUACGGGAGGCAGCAGUGGGGAAUAUUGCACAAUGGGCGCAAGCCUGAUUCAGCCAUGCCGCGUGUAUGAAGAAGGCCUUCGGGUUGUAAAGUACUUUCAGCGGGGAGGCGUUACCCGCAAAGAAAGCACCGGCUAACUCCGUGCCAGCAGCCGCGGUAAUAC